CGCCUGUUUAUCAAAAACAUCUUUUCUCGUUAGUUUUUGAAGUAUGGCCUGCCCGCUGACUUUAUGUUGAAGGGCCGCGGUAUUUUGACCGUGCAAAGGUAGCAUAGUCAUUAGUUCUUUAAUUGUGAUCUGGUAUGAAUGGCUUGACGAGGCAUGGGCUGUCUUAAUUUUGAAUUAUUUAUUGAAUUUGGUCUUUGAGUUAAAAUUCUUAGAUGUUUUUAUGGGACGAGAAGACCCUAUAGAGUUUAACAUUUAUUAUGGUCCCUUUCUGUUUGUGAGGGUUCACUGGGCCAUUUAAUAUGUUUUGUUGGGGUGAUGGGAGGGAUUUAUUUAACCCCUCCUUUAUAUUGUUAUAUUUAUUUAUAUUUACUUGAUCCAUUUAUUUUGAUUGUAAGAUUAAAUUACCUUAGGGAUAACAGCGUAA
rnacentral:rRNA from 1 species